UUUCAGUCCUGCAGCUGCACAGAGGGAGAGUGUGCAACUAAAACUGGGCCACAAUAACUUUAAACAUCUGACUUCUUCUCAAGUGUCUCUCAGGGACUCUCAGCCUGCUCUCCCUCCACGGCCACCGCCUUUGUGCUGACCAACGUGUGCACUCAGACAACCAAGAACCAUGGCCCAGCAACAGCGGAUCAGCCUCCCAGCCAAACUGAUCAAUGGAGGGAUUGCAGGGAUGGUAGGAGUCACCUGUGUGUUUCCAAUUGACCUGGCCAAGACCCGCCUGCAGAACCAACGCAGCGGGCAGCAACUUUACAAGAGCAUGAUGGAUUGCCUAAUAAAGACAGUAAAAUCUGAAGGCUACUUUGGCAUGUACAGAGGUAAGA